CUGACACAGGUGCUGCAUGGCUGUCGUCAGCUCGUGUCGUGAGAUGUUGGGUUAAGUCCCGUAACGAGCGCAACCUUGUCCUUAGUUACCAGCACGUUAUGGUGGGCACUCUAAGGAGACUGCCGGUGACAAACUGGAGGAAGGUGGGGAGUGACGUCAAGUCAUCAUGGCCCUUACGGCCUGGGCUACACACGUGCUACAAUGGUCGGUACAAAGGGUUGCCAAGCCGCGAGGUGGAGCUAAUCCCAUAAAACCGAAUCGUAGUCCGGAUCGCAGUCUGCAACUCGACUGCGUGAAGUCGGAAUCGCUAGUAAUCGUGAAUCAGAAUGUCACGGUGAAUACGUUCCCGGGCCUU
rnacentral:rRNA from 1 species